GAAUUCGUUAUAGCCUCCUACGGGGUGCAGCAGUAGGGAAUCUUCCACAAUGGACGAAAGUCUGAUGGAGCAACGCCGCGUGAACGAUGAAGGCUUUCGGGUCGUAAAGUUCUGUUGUAAGGGAAGAACAAGUGCCGCAGGCAAUGGCGGCACCUUGACGGUACCUUGCGAGAAAGCCACGGCUAACUACGUGCCAGCAGCCGCGGUAAUACGUAGGUGGCAAGCGUUGUCCGGAAUUAUUGGGCGUAAAGCGCGCGCAGGCGGCC
rnacentral:rRNA from 1 species